UUUUCAUGUUUGUAUUUUCUGUUUUGUAUCAGUAGAAUUAAGCAGAUAUUCUUUGUUCUUUUAGUCUCAGUGCCACUUAUUAUUAUUUGUGUUUUUCCUUUGUUUGGUUAUCAUUAAGUUCCGUUUUGUGUUCUUGAAUAAUAUAUUUCAAUUUUCUUGUAAGUUUACGCGUACGUCGAACCACCUUCUUCUGAUGUGUACGGUGUUCUGAGAAAGGGCUUGAAAUGUCCCAAAGUUCCUCCAAUCAUGAUUUGAAAUGUUAUUGAUUUUGUUAUCAGACCCUUAAUACGGUUAUACAUUCAUCUAUUGACAGAUGGUCCUUUUAAUCCAUAAUAAAAGCCCAACUUUUCUAGGGCAAGUCCUUCUCACCAAGAUCCUUAACUCAGUGGCUGAAGAAAAACCUCUGCCGUCACUCCUUAAGCCCACAAAGGUCUUUUGUUCUUCGAGUUCAAAUACGAUAACAGUAACACAAACAACACGGAAAUAAUUUAUAUGGGCCUAUUUCUUGCAGUGAGGCCCAUUUAAUUGUCAAAGGCGGUCAAAGAAGAGCCUAUGUUUGCGCUGAUGGUCAAAGGGCGCGUAGUCUUGCAACGGUUAUAUAUAUAUAUAUAUAUAUAUAAUAUAUAUAUAUAUAUAUUUGCCUUUAAAAGAACGCAAGGGACUGAAAGGUAUUGCCAGAAGCAUGAUGAGUUCAUGUUGAGGGAGCUUGUUAAAAGAUGGGCUAACCAUAAAGUAAUGGUCAGGUGGCUAUCACGCUUCUUCCAUCACCUUGAUCGCUACUUCAUUGCCCAUAGAUCAAUCCCCGCACUCAAUGAAGUUGGGCUGACUUGCUUCCAUAAUCUGAAAAACCUUUUUUUAGUCCUCCUGAUGGCAUACGUAAGGUUAUUACAGCAACAAACAUUGCAGAGUAUAAGAGUUGAUGAUGUGGUCUAUGUGAUAAAUUGUGGAAAGCAUAAGGAGAAUCAUUAUAAUCCUCAAAGUGUCAGGCCCAUUCUGUGUUGCUAAGGAAGUGCUGAUAUCUGUGUAAUUGCAUCCUGUCAUAGACUGAAGGCAGGUUAUUGUCAGAUCAAGAUGAAUUUCAUGUCACCGUAAGAAUUAGUCUUUCCCUAGAUCGGGCCUAUCUUCUUUCAGAUCUUAUACCAUUGUGGUAUCCUUUCUUUCUAGGUUCAGCCAACGAUUCAUUCCAUUCUGUGUUGCUAAGGAAGUGCUGAUAUCUGUGUAAUUGCAUCCUGUCAUUGACUGAAGGCAGGUUAGAGUCAGAUCAAGAUGAAUUUCAUGUCACCAAAAAAAGAAGUUGAGAGAGGCCUUUGGUUGGUGGCAAGGAAUUGGAUUCUUAUUCGCCUCUAUCCGGUCCCUGGUAAUCUCCCAUCUCAAUGGGGACUAGGCACCUAUGGCUAACGGGAAGCGAGAGGGAAAAAUACGAGAUUAAACCGAAAUCUUUUACAAUGCAUAUUCCAGGGACUGAAAGGUAUGCUAUGUUUCAUUUACUCUGUUUAAGCUUCCAUAUUCCAACAACUUUGGCUGCUUUUGCUUGAUGUUUUAUAGAUUCUAUUGUUGUUACUCGUUUGCUUUGAUGAUUGUUAUUGAAGCCUUAUGUUUUGUUGUUGGAUACUUUUAUAGAUUAUUCUUUUAAUAGUUUUCUCCUCAAUAUAAACCCAUUUAUAUAGAGGGAGAGAUGGAAGAAUGAAAAAAGUGAAAUAAAUGGGUUAAAAAAAAAAAAAAGAGAUUUGAUUUUUAAAUGGAAUACCAAAUCCACCUCAAUUAUCCAAAAAAUAAUAAUGUGUGAAGAAAAGGGCCUCAAUUUGUUCCUUCAUGAUUUUUAUUUGCAUGGGGAGUGUGGAGUCAGAAAGGCUUUUUGAGGUGUUGAGAUAGGCUUGAUGACCAUGCAACCCAAAGUUGCCAGUUGCAUGAUAUUGAUUAUGGAUUAAACUUACAUUGGUGGAGGGCCAGGGGGGACGAAUCGGUGGUCGGCUACUGGUGGGUUCUAAGCCUGUAUUAAUGUUAUAUUAAUAAAAUCACAAUACAUAUAUACAUACAUAUAUAUAUAUAUGGAUGAAGAUGAUGACUAGCCUAUAUUUCCAAAUUUCAUCUGAAUGUUUUGUUGUAUGCCAAAUUAAUAUUUUUGUGCCAUUGAAGCAUGUAGUUUAUUUUUAAAAUUUAAAAAUAAUUCAUGUCAUUUUAUUGUAUGUUCACAAGAAAGAUAAAAUAACAUACUAUUCUUUUAGAAUGUCAUUAUAGUUGGCGAAUAUGCUCACCACCUUGUAGAACAAUUAACAAGUCGUUUUGCUAAAUUUU